rnacentral:lncRNA from 1 species
ACCAUAUCUGACAGGCUGAGGCUUUUAUGCAGUAGGGCAAGAGAGUGUGUCUAUGCAUGUGUGUGUGUGUGUCUGUCUGUCUGUCUGUCUGCGAGACUGUGUCUGUGUGUUAAGCUUGAGUCUAUUGAGCCCAUUGGAUGGGACUGGGGUUUACAAAGACCAUGGGCACAUAGGAGCUUCCUCAGUAUCACAGGCUUUCACUUUUCUAGUGUUUCGGAUGGUGUCUGGGCAUUCUGAUGCUGCUGCAGGGCUUGGUGAAGGUGAGGAUUUACCGGGAUUCCUUUGGAUCCUGUCCUGGAUAAUUUCUCUCUCUCUCGCUCUCUCUCUCUCUGCCCAAGGCUCUCCAACUCCAUCCUAUGCUGGACUAGUCUGAGAACUCACAGUUGAAGACAUGUUCAUUAGACUGGGACGCCUGACCCCUGGAUACUUCCGUCUCCUCCAGAGACAGGUCUCAGGUGAAGUCCAGAUACAGCCGCAGAAAGGAUUCAUCAACCAGAUCGCCAUGACGAUGGCCAUGGUGGGCAUCAGUGUGUCCUUCUACAGCGCCCGGCGGAUGGCGGAGAAGGUCCAUCUAAAAGAGAAUGCUCCCUGAACAGUUGGACAGUGUGGCCCCUCAACUGGACCAGAGAGAUGGGGGAGAGAGAUGAAGAGAACCAGAGUAGGCUGCAGUGCUGCACUCCAUCACCUUGCAUUGCAGCGGUUGGCACCCACUCAAAGCUGCCAUGCCAAGAUGGUUCUGUGGGCUGAGUGUUUGAUGUUGUUGUUCGAGAGAAUGUCUGUGUUUGAUGGAAGAGGAUGGGUAUCAGGAGCGUUUUGUCUUGAGAGUGAGACCAUGCAGUCUUUAUUAAACAACUGCUGGGUUUGAAAUACGUUUAUCUUUGUAUUGUGAUGACGGGAAAAUGGAAGUGUACUGUGGGGAAAUGGAAAUGUGAAUUACCAGUACUAAUGCCCAAUAGAUUAAAAUGACCUAACAACAUUUUUACCUAAAUACAUUUUUGGAUGAUAUGAGGCGAUCUACACAUAUCUGCUUUAUUUGAAAGAUUUCACCAUGUAGGCCUAGCAUACUUACUUAGGCUCCAUACUAGAAUGUCUUUUGAACAUAGCAUGAAUGCACAUCACAAAUGUGGGACCCCAGUAAGCGUUUGGUAUUUGCUUCAGCGCUUUAUCAGUUGAACAUGGAUGCCAUGAUAAUACUGUAGCUCUGUGGUUCUGACAGAAUCGGUGGUCUCCUCAAUGUAUGCCACUUCCAAACUGACUCUUCAUGACAUUUAUAUGUAUAUUUUAUUAACAAGUAUUUUUAAUGGUUUACAUUUUUAAAUACCUAAUAAAACUCACUAUUAACUCAAAGAA